rnacentral:lncRNA from 1 species
GACUGAUCUGUCCACACACACAACUGGGAGGAUGUUCCCGCAUCUUCCCCCUCUCGUCCCUCAAAAAAACUGCUGUUCUCCGAGAUAGAGCCCCAGCUUGUCUCCGUCUCAGCCCCACAUGAGCCCCUCUAUGCGGAGGAAGUUAUAUCACCCUCCAGGAAUUGCUCUCCGAAUGCGACGCGAUGAAGGGCUCGAAAACAAUGGGGUCAGCUCAGUCUUGGAUGGAGCGGACGAAGACAACACUUGCUUUAAUGCGCAGAAUUAUGUCAUCGGCAGCCAGAGGUCACAUCCUGCUGUCUUUUUAAAGAUAACUCCAGCCCCUCUCUGUUUCCCUGCUCCCUUAUAAACCUGGCUCGACCCAUACCCCGUAGCAGCAAGAGCGCACAGCCCAACAUCUUGGAUUCGUUACGAGUGUCUCAGAUGCGCUCCAACUCAUAUUUCAUAUCAUUCCCCCAGCCAUAAGAUUUGAGUUUGUCACAUUUACUGGAGACUAAAGCACAAACAUGUUUUAUUCAUUAUCGGUCCUCGUCUCCGCAACAAGCACCUGCAAAACAUUUUGGCUCUAGACUGGAGCAACAAGGUUUCAUUAGACAUGACACUUUCUCCCCGGGUUGGAUGAUGAAGCUACAUUUUACUCCUGUGCUUCCAGGCUGUGAAAUUGCCUGGAGAUCAUCACCUUGUACGAACGCAGACUCCAGAGACCUCUUGGCUGAGGUGGGAAAAAGGGAUCGAGGAGAUUACGUAGAUCCGAUCACAGCGAUCGGAGGCGUUUGGGGCAGCACUGAGCUGUUUUAGCCUUGCAACACCCAAGAGAAAGCCCAAUUCUGCUUCGUCAAUGGGGAAAAAUGCCACGUGGAGGAGCACAACUGGUGCAUGUUGUCAUAGAGAUUUGCAAGAUGUUUGGAGCGGAGAGCCCCUGUUACUAUUUUGAUUUUAGCCAGCAGCCGAUAUGGGAGCAGCGGUUCAAAGCUCCUCACCGACUCCUCUCUCCCGGCCAAUGAAUAUGUAUUGGAUGCAAAACAGAAGAGCUCACCGGGAGAGGGAGAGAAGCUGUUUGCCUUGCAAAAUUCAUCAGCCCGGUGCUCAGAUGAACGCUGCAACUGAAGAAGUGAGAUUCAUGUCCCUCCUCUGAGCCCAGCCCAGCAGAGCAGAGCACGCGCCCUGAGCCACAAGCAUCACCCCUUGCACUUUGGCUAUUCAUUUCCUCAUAUCUGUCCUGCCAGCCUUCCCUGGGAUGGAGGGGCUGCCAGGAGCUCGGUUCCAAAUGCUCCCAAGCCAUUGGGUUUUAUUCCUUUACAUGGAUCACAUUUAACGCUGCAUCGCUCUCUGCUUGCUGCCCCGCACAUAUGCUCCCCAGGAGGCUUUGUUAUGGUGCUUUCCCUUUAAUUAUCUUCAUAAACGUACAGUUUUUCUCUCUUCACCUUCCCUCUUUCAUUUCCAAAGUCUUUAAUCACUUGUUUUCCACCCGUUUCGUCUUGAUUUUUCUGACACGUGCAAUAAAAACGCCAGUAAAAUAUUCA